UGAGUAACGCGUGAGGAACCUGCCUUUCGGAGGGGGACAACAGUUGGAAACGACUGCUAAUACCGCAUGACGUAUCGGGAUCGCAUGGUCUUGAUACCAAAGAUUUUAUCGCCGAAAGAUGGCCUCGCGUCUGAUUAGCUAGUUGGUGGGGCAACGGCCUACCAAGGCGACGAUCAGUAGCCGGACUGAGAGGUUGGCCGGCCACAUUGGGACUGAGAUACGGCCCAGACUCCUACGGGAGGCAGCAG
rnacentral:rRNA from 1 species